UACGUAGGGACCAAGCGUUGUUCGGAUUCAUUGGGCGUAAAGGGUGCGUAGGCGGCGCGGUAAGUCGGGUGUGAAAUCUCGGAGCUUAACUUCGAAACUGCAUUCGAUACUGCCGUGCUUGAGGACUGGAGAGGAGACUGGAAUUUACGGUGUAGCGGUGAAAUGCGUAGAUAUCGUAAGGAAGACCAGUGGCGAAGGCGGGUCUCUGGACAGUUCCUGACGCUGAGGCACGAAGGCCAGGGGAGCAAACGGG
rnacentral:rRNA from 1 species